rnacentral:rRNA from 1 species
GAUAACCUCCGGAAACUGGGUAUAAUACCCGAUAGGUCUCGAUUGCUGGAAUGCAUCGAGAUUUAAAGCUCCGGCGCCUAAGGAUGGGUCUGCGGCCUAUCAGGUAGUAGUGGGUGUAGCGUACCUACUAGCCUACGACGGGUACGGGUUGUGAGAGCAAGAGCCCGGAGAUGGAUUCUGAGACACGAAUCCAGGCCCUACGGGGUGCAGCAGGCGCGAAAACUUUACAAUGCUGGCAACAGCGAUAAGGGAACCUCGAGUGCCAGGUUACAAAUCUGGCUGUCGAGAUGCCUAAAAAGCAUUUCAUAGCAAGGGCCGAGCAAGACCGGUGCCAGCCGCCGCGGUAACACCGGCGGCUCGAGUGGUAACCGUUAUUAUUGGGUCUAAAGGGUCUGUAGCCGGCCGGAUAAGUCUCUUGAGAAAUCUGGCAGCUUAACUGUCAGGCUUUCAGGAGAUACUGUCUGGCUCGAGGCCGGGAGAGGUGAGAGGUACUUCAGGGGUAGGGGUGAAAUCUUGUAAUCCUUGAAGGACCACCAGUGGCGAAGGCGUCUCACCAGAACGGACCUGACGGCAAGGGACGAAAGCUAGGGGCACGAACCGGAUUAGGUACCCGGGUAGUCCUAGCCGUAAACGAUACUCGCUAGGUGUCGGCCACGGUGCGACCGUUGUCGGUGCCGUACGGAAGCCGUGAAGCGAGCCACCUGGGAAGUACGGCCGCAAGGCUGAAACUUAAAGGAAUUGGCGGGGGAGCACCACAACGGGUGGAGCUUGCGGUUUAAUUGGAUUCAACGCCGGAAAUCUUACCGGGACCGACAGCAAUAUGAAGCCAGGCUGAAGACUUUGCCGGAUUAGCUGAGAGGUGGUGCAU